UGGGGAAUAUUGCACAAUGGGCGCAAGCCUGAUGCAGCAACGCCGCGUGAGGGACGACGGCCUUCGGGUUGUAAACCUCUUUUAGUAGGGAAGAAGCGAAAGUGACGGUACCUGCAGAAAAAGCACCGGCUAACUACGUGCCAGCAGCCGCGGUAAUACGUAGGGUGCGAGCGUUGUCCGGAAUUAUUGGGCGUAAAGAGCUCGUAGGCGGUCUGUCGCGUCUGCUGUGAAAACCCGAGGCUCAACCUCGGGCCUGCAGUGGGUACGGGCAGACUAGAGUGCGGUAGGGAGAAUGGAAUUCCUGGUGUAGCGGUGGAAUGCGCAGAUAUCAGGAGGAACACCGAUGGCGAAGGCGGUUCUCUGGGCCGUAACUGACGCUGAGGAGCGAAAGCGUGGGGAGCGAACAGGAUUAGAUACCCUGGUAGUUCACGCCGUAAACGUUGGGCGCUAGAUGUGGGGACCAUUCCACGGUUUCCGUGUCGCAGCUAACGCAUUAAGCGCCCCGCCUGGGGAGUACGGCCGCAAGGC
rnacentral:rRNA from 1 species